AUUGCAUGCUAUGCACGACUAAAGCUUUGGGUUUGUGUCUGUGAUUUUUUUCUUCAUUAUUAUGAAUCCAAUACGCAGUCCAUCAUGUCUUAUUCUUGUGUUUGUGUUUGCUUAUCAAGUAAUUGGUCAAGAUGUCCAAAAAACCAUCGUUGGCUGCAUAAGUGACAAUGUCACGUUGUCCUUUGAUUUACCUGAGAAGAAGGACCGUACUGUGGAAAGCUAUAUUUGGUACAAACAGGAUGUUUCAGGGGAUCCCAGCUUCGCCAAAUACACUGUAGCUGAAAACAAGUUUGAAAUCUUCAGAGAUGCCCAAGAUCGUGUCCUCCACAAUCAUAAAGAUUCAUCACAGCUAAGAAAUUUAGUUUUACUGAAUGUGAAGAAAAGUGAUGAGUCAAAAUAUGUAGUUGUAAUUAAUUAUGUCAACGUCACACAACACACAUCGGAGUAUCUCUUACGAUUGUCAGUAAAAGGUGUUUGCUUUGGAAAACCCGAACAAAUAGAGGGAUGCGCAGUAUCAACAUGUUUUACAGGAGAGAACGGAAUGAUUUACGAUGACCAGGCAGGCGAGACACAAACCGUGAAUGGUUACACAGUGGUAAGAAACUGUACAAGUGGUGUCUCUAUUGGCUACUCCUGCUGUAAUGCAGCCGGAGACUGUGAGCAACAAAUGCUCAUAGUACCCGAAGGUACGUUCAUUAUUGUAUUUUAUUUGAAACAUAGCUUUGGGACUUUGGUUGCAAUUGAUUAAAGAUCCACUUAGAUUUUUUUCAUGUAAUCUUAUUCAACAUGAAGUGGACUAUUAGUCAAACGAGAGUAAUAUGCUUUGUUUUAUUUUUUCAUUCCUAUAGAAUUUCACCAUCUACUAAAAAAUGACCAAUAUUUAUGCUAAAAUUCAUGGCUAAAAUUUAUGAGUGCUAUAUUUAUAUGCAGUAAAUAGUACUGUGCGAGUAUGAGACACGAACUGAACUCAUAGCUGAAGAAAUUGCGCUCAUAGUCACAGUGAGUGCUAGUUCAAAGUAGGAGAAAAACAGAAAGUAUUCAAAUAUAUAUAUAUAUAUACAUGUAGACACUUGUAUUUUAAAAAUACUUAAAAACAAAUGAUAUAAUUUAAUGGCAAAACCUCUAUGGGUAUAUUUGUCAUUCGAUAACAUGCUGCCAAUUUUAGAAGAAAAAAAAUUAUUUAGAGAAUGUAUUUUUGAGGAAAAUUAUUUUAAAAAUUAAAAUCACACGUGAAGAAGCGGAGACAUAUAUGCUUUUGAAGAAACUACAUUGAUAGAAAGAUAACAAAGGGUUAUUGUGAGUAUUUUUACGCAUGUCUGUACAUGUACUACUCUUUUUUAAAUAUAUGUCAGAUAUGUAUAUAAUAUUGUUACCCUUGCAUGAAAGACGCUAUUUCUUUCCAUGGUUCAAAUUAUUUAUAAAGAUGUUUAAUAAAAGUACCUGCAUUGUUGGUUAGAGUCAUCAAAUCACUUUUCUUAUUCGCUUUAAAACAAAUCUAAAAAUUGUUAACUUUAAUCCAAAUUUUGCAAACCCAUUCAAAUUGAGUAAUACAUAGCAUUUUUUGUUACGAUGAAAAAAGUGAAGGUUACGAUACGUCUCCUAUAAUAAACUGCAUACUGCGAAAGUGAUAAAUAAUUUUGUUAUUGAAAGCUUUUGUUUUUUUUUGCAUUUUUGAACCAUUGCUGUUUGCCCAAUUUAAAGAUUCGAUAUGUAAGUAUCAUUUUCUAUGCGUUAAUUACCAUCACUUUCAUUUUUCAAAAUUUUGAUAAUUCUGUUUCAGCUUAAAAUUGGGGCUCUUCACAUGGAACUGGAGUUAGUCUGGUAUUUGGAGCUUUGAUAGGAAUUGAACUUAUCGUUAUCACUACGUGUCCUUAGUGACACAGAAGUAAAUAAAGUUUUGAGGAAAAUGCUGACAGAGAGGAGUUUAUUCAGGAAAAAUGGUGGAAAUUAAAAAGACAUUGCGGAACACAACACAAUUACGUAAUACGGCAAAUGAAAUUCAGCAAGCAGCAUUUGCAGAAUCGAGAAAGAUUGGUAUUGAAGCCUCGGUAAACCGUGAAGCAAACUUGACUGCAGCAUACAAUUCUGCUCUGUCGGCCAUGUUUACGAGGUUAAAUGUCACGGAGGGGGAGCAUAAGCUGUCAAUCAUGAUGAUUCGAGCUCUGGAGGAUGUGGCAGUUAAGGGUAACCUGUACAGGACUUAUGGGUACGACAAUGGUACCAUGUCACUGUAUACAAAGAGUAUGUCCAUAGGAUAGGACUCGAAGAGAAUAUUUUUUCUUCUCUCUGCUCAGCUUUACUUACAAUAACUGAACAUAUUUAUACCUCAACCAUUAUUAACAAUUUGAAAAAAAUGAUAGUUUUAAUAUAAUUGUUUUUUCCUUGUUUUGUUUUUUGUACAAUAUACAUAUCAAGUGUCUAUUAUUUAUUUCCCAAUUUUCUCUUGUUCUGAUGAUUUGUGCUUCGUGUUUAAUUUUUAAUAGCAUUGUAAAUUUUUACUCAUCUGUUGUACAGAUGUAUGUAUGAUCCCAGAGUUCCAGGGAACCUAGUAUAAAUCGUGUAUUUUGUUUGUCAGGAAUUUAAUUAUCAUUUUAUUUAUCUGUCUCUCUGUAAUGAUUUAAGAUUUAUUCCAUUUUAUAUCUCUGACAUUUUUAAAGACAAACUAUUUAUAUAUGUGAAAAAUCCAGAUAGGAGAUUUGCAUGCUCAACACUUCUAAAGCCUGGAUUGUGCAGCAUAAUAUUUUACUAAGUAGCGGGUAGUUUGUUGAGACUUCUUUGUGUUUAUUGUCAUCUCUGUUAUAGCCAUAUAAAAUAGUUUUUAUCAGGUUUUUUUUUAUGUUUUCUUAACUUUCUGUAAGAGAUAAAACAAAAUUAUUAUGGUGCUAUGCAUUCAUACUUGUUAGUGCUUUGAGGUAUACACUUCAUUGAUGCCUUAUAAAAUUCAAUACAUGUAUUUUCAUGGAUCCUAUGUUUAUGAAAAUAAAGUUAUUUA